rnacentral:rRNA from 1 species
GAUGAACGCUGGCGGCGUGCCUAAUACAUGCAAGUCGAGCGAACAGACGAGGAGCUUGCUCCUCUGACGUUAGCGGCGGACGGGUGAGUAACACGUGGAUAACCUACCUAUAAGACUGGGAUAACUUCGGGAAACCGGAGCUAAUACCGGAUAAUAUAUUGAACCGCAUGGUUCAAUAGUGAAAGACGGUUUUGCUGUCACUUAUAGAUGGAUCCGCGCCGCAUUAGCUAGUUGGUAAGGUAACGGCUUACCAAUGCAACGAUGCGUAGCCGACCUGAGAGGGUGAUCGGCCACACUGGAACUGAGACACGGUCCAUACUCCUACGGGAGGCAGCAGUAUGGAAUCUUCCGCAAUGGGCGAAAGCCUGACGGAGCAACGCCGCGUGAGUGAUGAAGGUCUUCGGAUCGUAAAACUCUGUUAUUAGGUAAGAACAAAUGUGUAAGUAACUAUGCACUUCUUGACGGUACCUAAUCAGAAAGCCACGGCUAACUACGUG